GCCUAUAGCUCAGCGGAUAAAGCACCUAUUUACUAAACAGGAAGUCAAUGGUUUGACCCUAUCUAGCGCA
rnacentral:tRNA from 1 species